GAUCUUCCCGGACCGGGGCACGAACCUGUGUCCCCUGCAUCGGCAGGCGGACUCUCAACCACUGCACCACCAGGGAAGCCCUGGAUUUGAUCUUUGAGAGAAGAUAUUUAUAAAAUAAAAUUAUACAACAGCAUUUGCCCUCUUUCCAACAACAUUACUCUACGAAACAAUAACUUUUCAGGUACCGUUCAUGAAUGAAUGGUUGCCUUCAGGAAUUAGAAAAAGAGAUACUUGGAAUGAGGUGAACUCCAUAUUUUCCCAGCUAUGCUUCCUAGGGUAGACAUUCCUUGGCACUGGAAGUGGGAUCCAAAGGAGAUGACCCCCAAAGGACAAUGACCCUUGGAAUUGUGUGAAGUACCCACACAAAAGCCCUUGAGCUCAUCGCUUCUGACCGGCAAGAUGACAGAGGAGUAAGAUGUGGAAAUUACCUUCCUCC